rnacentral:rRNA from 1 species
AUGAAUAUCAUGUGCUUGAAUUGUCGGGGUUGUGGGCGGCCCGAGACAGUUUGUGAGAUUAGUAACCUAAUUAGGUUGCAACGCCCUGGUCUGGUCUUUCUCUCGAAGACCAAGAUGUCUGCCAAGAGAGCACCAGGGCUAAAAUGGAGAUUUGGAUUCACAAAUGCUUUUGGAGUUAACUGUGUGGGAUUAAGUGGAGGACUUUGCCUAUACUGGAAUAACAACUCAAUUGUGACUUUGAAAUCUUUUAGCGGGUCACACAUUGAUGUCAUGGUUUAG